GCUUUGUGUUUCCAUGGGUGAGGUGGAGUCUGCUGCUUUCUACCAGUUCAUGUCUGCUUAAAUUUCCAUUUAAGUGAUAUAUUAACCUGGCAUUGUCUCUGCAAAGAAAAAGGCAGGAUGUGCUUGGGGAAAUCUCAGGCAGAGGACAUGUGGGUUUUAAGGAAAAUUAAUCUCUUUACAUGUGACAGCUUCAGUUUUAAAUGGCUUGCCUUUUUGUCUCACAAUCGUGAAGCAUGUGGGAAGAAGGGAACUUGAGGGUAGAGAUUCCCCACUGUAAAUGUACAUUGAAUUAUUGAAACGAUUUUUUUCUGUGAUGGGGAAGGAGUGUAAUUGUCACUCUGCAAUUUUUUCUUUUCGUGUAUCAAAUGCCAUGACUAAUGCUGUGUCAUGGAAGAACAAACAUUCUAUGCUCCUUCCAUAUUUGACUGAAAAUGAGUGUCUCAAGUGGUUUCCAUAAUGACCUACACAGUCUUUCAUUAUUUGGGACUUAUCAUUUAUAAUGUAAUACAAUGCAAAACCCCUAGUACUAAAAAUAUCCCAGAAAUCUAGAAAAACUGUGAAAACAGCUAAAGGACAACCUUUUUUGGAGGUCAUGGCUUCUAAUGAAAGAUGUGAAGAAUAUAAGACCCAUCAGUGUAACCUGAACUAUGUAAGGGCAAUGGUGUAAUAAGCAUUUUCCUGAAUGGAUUGAGGGUCUGGUUGUGGAGCCAUCCCAAAGCAAGUUGUUCAGAGUCUGUCCGCCAACAGCUCCCCAUGGCCUUCUGACCAGAACCAACAGCAGCGAUGGAAAGGAACUAACCGAGGGGAAAACUGACUCCAAGAUAAAGCCACAUUUGCUGAGUGGGACCUACUAGGCAUAGUGUCCAGUGAGAGGUGGUGAAAAUACUAAUGGGUAGGAUUCCUAAAUAUCAAAGGAGAAUGUACAUAGGAGAAUAUCUUAGCUAUCUACAAAUGUCAGUGAAGAUGAAAUGGCACUCUUCCAUUUCUGAUUCUGUUUAGCAUGAAGCAUACUACCUGUUUGGUCCUUCAUGGUUGGAAAAAAAGAAAAGGAGGAAUGUAUUACUCUUUUAUUUUGCUUAAACAGCAAAGACACAAGUAUUGCUCAAAACCGUUGAGCUCUCUUAGCUUUCAUUUUUUGAAUGCUGGUGUAGUUAUUUUAUGAUGGCUUAGUUUACAAGUACCUCUCAGAUCUUUAGAAUAUCUACUUUCAUUUUCUUUGGGACAGUACCAAUAAAGUCAGUGAUGACUUUGCUUUCUCCUCCCCUGGGUGAAACUGAGUUGGAAUAACUCUCACAGAAGGAGGGGCUGUUGACACCUGCUUUAGUUGGCAUGUGUUGAGUGGGAAGGAUGGAGGGAAGGGAAAUUGCAUAGCUUCUGAUUUAUGACAUACUGUAGCACUGUGUUCCAUCUCUGACUAUGACUUUUAGCACCUGGGAAACCUUUCCCAUCUAAUCUACAUCUGCCCUUUGUUUUACUAAUAAUGUCCAAGGGUGGCAUCUCUCCUUUGAGGCUAAAGAAACUUAAUUUUGGCUGCAGAUGCUCUGAAUAUGACAUUGGCAACAUCAUGAAGCCUCUUGGGCCAUGUAGCUUAUUUCAGAUCCUCUCUGUCCCAGCUUAUGUGUUCCCUCUGUUGCCAGAACUUCCUCUGAUGUUAUUUCUUACCCGUCUUUAUAUUCCAACAUGAAAUGCCAACUGUCACGUCUCCAAAGACUUUUGUGCAGGCCUGUCAGUUCUGUCCUUGCCAUAGUGGUUAGUGUCUGGCCUUGUCAUUUAUUUUGACGGAAACGAGGCCUUGUCAGCCUUGCUGCUAACAAUCUUUCUUUUUACUUAUAAGAAACAUUAGAAGCACAGAAAAUGCAGACCAGUCAGAAGGACAAUUUUAGAAAGAUAUCAAAAUCUGUCUUCAGCAAUCAAGCUAUACCCAUAGAGAAAAUUGAGUGAGUUGGUGCUUCGGAGUUUACCAUAAUUUCUUUUGGUGCUGUUAAUACGUGACUGUUUAAAAAUAAGAAUGGAAUUGAAGGAACAUGGGUGGACUUUGGAACAUUUUUGUGAUGUUUUGACCACAGCUAUGAGUCAAAUGAGCAGGCUUUAUUAUGUAGAGGAACACUACCCCAUUUUUCCUUUCCUAAUCCAAACCUGGUUCUAGUAAAGAUAACUGCAGGGCAAUUGCAAUUUCAUUCAGUAAACCAUAACUGCAACAAAGUGCUUAAUAAAUUAAAAUAAAGCUGCUUUUGUGUGUGGCUGAGAGUGCCUAAUUCAAAUCUUUUGUUGUUUAAAGGAAUGUAGAAUUGCCUGGUAACUCUCUUUCCUAAUAUGCUUCUGAAUAUAGCUUAUUACAUGACUUUAUUAACAGGUUUUAUUUAUUACAUGAUUUGGGUUCUUACAUGGAGAGUAGGUACUUUGUUAGUUAAUACACAUAUUGCCCUAGAUUUAUUGUGCCUGUAUAAUAUGUUAUAACAUGUUCAGGGUAUAUAGUCAACCACCUGUAACCCUUCUUUCUUACUUCACUCAUGAGUUGUGUGUUGUUGUUUUCUCCUGCCUUCAUGAAAUGAUGAAUUCUGAGCUUACUGGAGGGGGUGUAGAGCUGGAAGAAAGCUGUAUCUUUAUAGCCUUGUACUUAAGAAUUCAGAAUGUUGCUGUAGUCAAGUAUUUUGACAAAUGCCUCUUUCUUGUGCUUUCAUCAUUUCUCUAGAAGAUAAAUGUGAGGUUCAGCACCUGCAGAAGUUUCUAUUAAAAAUCCUGUUUUGAUCUGUUCAUAACUUUCCAAAACAUUGAUCUUUCAAGCUGAAAUCUACUGCAUGUUUUUUGCACAAAGACUAUGGAAAUGAUGUUAGACAAAAAGCAAAUCUGAGCGAUUUUCUUAUUCGAGUUCAAAGUUGGGUCGUAAAGCAGUGGAGACAACUUGCAACAUCAACAACAGCUUUGGCCCAGGAGCUGCUAAUGAAUGUGCAGUGUGGUUGGUGGUUUGAGAGCCUUGAAGAUGAGGAGCUCAGUGGUGACCAGCAGGAGGUGGGAACACACAGCUGAGAGCAACUGUUGAAGCUGGUCUUCUCACAACUACAUGAGAGUUGCCAAAGAACUUGACAUCAACUGUUCUAUGGUUGUUUGGCAUUUGAAGCAAAUCGGAAAGGUGAAAGAGCUUGAUAAGUGGGUGCCUCAAGAAUAGACCAAAAAUCAAAAAAAUUGUCAUUUUGAAGUGCCGUCUUCUACACAACAACAACAAACCAUUUCUCAAUGGGAUUGUAAUGUGCAACAAAAAGGUGGAUUUGAUACAACAACCAGCAGCGACCAGCUCAGUGGUUGAACCAAGAAGAAUGUCCGAAGUACUUCCCAAAGCCAAGCUUGCACUGAGAAGAGGUCACAGUCACUGUUGGGUGCUCUGGUGCCAGUCUGAAUCCUGGUGCCAGUCUGAAUCCUGCAGCUUUCUGAAUCCUGGUGAAAAUGUUACGUUGGAAAAGCCUGCUCAGCAAAUCAGUGAGAUGCACCGAAAACUGCAACGCCUGCAGCCGACAUCGGUCACCAGAAAGGGCCCAGUUCUUUUCCAUGACAACACCUGACCACAUGUCAUGCAACCAACGCUUCAAAAGUUGAAUGAAUUGGGUUAUGAAGUUUUGUCUCAUCUGCUGUGUUCACCUGACCUCUUACCAACCGACUGCCACCUCUUCAAGCAUCUCAACAAUGUUUUACACAGAAAACACUUUUACAACCAGCAGGAUACCGAAAAUGCUUUCCAAGAGUUUGUCAAAUCCUGAAGCAGGGAUUUUUAUGCUAUAGGAAUAAACAAACUUAUUUCUUGUUUGCAAAAACAUGUUGACUGUAACGGUUCCUAUUUUGAUGAAUAAAGAUGUGUUUGAGCCUA